rnacentral:lncRNA from 1 species
AGGCGGAGCAAUAUGGACUGUGCCUAUGUUUGGGCCUCGUGGAGGAAGGAAGAGAACCUUGGUCACUUUCAAGAAGUGAAGUGUGUGUCCGGGUGAGGGACCACAUAAUUAAAAAUGGAUUUGUUCCUACGCACUUUUGGGUUUCUUUAGGAUUUACACUCCCGAGCCCCUAAAUGGUAAAUUUUUUUUUUUACAAAUUUGGACAUUUCAUGGUAAUUUUCAUUACGGGAAGAGUGAGAAUACUUGUUACGGAGGACACAUGUUAAGCUCCCAAUAACUUUAAAAUGCUAAGUCAUUUAGCAGCCAUACAAUUGAAUGUCUUCCUUUGUUUAUCAAAUCAACAUAAAACCCGGGUUGCCUAAUGCUUGCAGUUAUAGAGAAUUUCGACAUUGAAAUUUUUAACACAAAAA